UACGAAGGGGCUAGCGUUGUUCUGAAUUACUGGGCGUAAAGCGCACGUAGGCGGAUAUUUAAGUCAGGGUGAAAUCCCAGAGCUCAACUCUGGAACUGCCUUUGAUACUGGGUAUCUUGAGUAUGGAAGAGGUAAGUGGAAUUGCGAGUGUAGAGGUGAAAUUCGUAGAUAUUCGCAGGAACACCAGUGGCGAAGGCGGCUUACUGGUCCAUAACUGACGCUGAGG
rnacentral:rRNA from 1 species